rnacentral:rRNA from 1 species
GACGAACGCUGGCGGCGUGCUUAACACAUGCAAGUCGAACGAAGUGGCGAACGGGUGAGUAACGCGUAAACAACCGGCCCUUCAGCGGGGGACAACAGUUGGAAACGAAUGCUAAUACCGCAUACUGAAGGAGGGGAUUGCGUGUGAUUAGCUGGAUGGAGGGGUAACGUCCCACAAAGGCGAUGAUCAGUAGCCGGUCGGAGAGGAUGAACGGCCACAUUGGGACUGAGACACGGCCCAUACUCCUACGGGAGGCAGCAGUGGGGAAUCUUCCGCAAUGGACGAAAUGCUGACCGAGCAACGCCGCGUGAGUGAAGAAGGUUUUCGGAUCGUAAAACUCUGUUGUUAGAGAAGCGGUAUCUAACCAGAAAGCCACGGCUAACUACGUGCCAGCAGCCGCGGUAAUAC